UACGUAGGUGGCAAGCGUUGUCCGGAAUUAUUGGGCGUAAAGCGCGCGCAGGCGGUCCUUUAAGUCUGAUGUGAAAGCCCACGGCUCAACCGUGGAGGGUCAUUGGAAACUGGGGGACUUGAGUGCAGGAGAGAAGAGUGGAAUUCCACGUGUAGCGGUGAAAUGCGUAGAGAUCCGGAGGAACACCAAAGGCGAAGGCAGUGUCCUGGGGAGUACCUGACGCUCAGGUGCGAAAGCCAGGGGAGCGAACGGG
rnacentral:rRNA from 1 species